UGACGGCCAUAACACGUUGAAAGCCCGGUUCUUGUUUGACCACUGAAUUUAAGCAACGUCAAGCCUGAUCAGCACCUAGAUGGGUGACCGCUUGAGAAUACCAGGUGCUGUAAG